rnacentral:misc_RNA from 1 species
UGCUUACAGACAUCAUUCUAUAUACAAUGUCAAACUAGACAAUGAACUACAACACCACAUACGUAACAUGUUCAACCUCAGCAAUACUUAAAUACCUUGGGCAAAUUAGAUUGACAGUAAUCCUAAUUUGUAUAAACAUACAAUCUUGUUACUUAUGCUGAAUUUGCAAGAGCAAGUUUCUCAUUAAGCUUUGUAAUCCGAGCCUUGAAGGAUUUUGAGCGACGGAUGGACGGAUCUAACUCUAAAGCCAUGGAGUAUGACCUCUCGGCUGCAUCGACAUGGUCCAGAGCCAUCAAAACAUCACCUUGGCAGAUAUAACCUUCAGGAUAAUUGGGAGCAAUAUUUAACGCCUCCUUAGAAUCUUCGAGUGCCUCGGCCAAAUUUCCCAUUGCCAACUCUGCAGCACACCUGUCUUUGAGCAUAAUAUGAACACCUCCAAACGGCUUUAGAGCAAUAGCCUGUGAGAGCAAACCAUGAGCCUCAGAGAAAUUACCAUUACCCAUCUCAUCUUCAGCUCUUUUCCUCAACGCUAAAGCCUCCAAACUUCUCCUACUCUCUCCUUCAACAUCAUCCCUACCAAGGCACACGAACGCCAUAACUUCAGCAGUUCGAGUGGGAGUACCAACGUGCUUGACAUAUACAGCACCAGGUAAAACGACGACAUUAGGUCCAGCCCCGCAACGGCCAAGACAUCCACAGGAAUUAACCGCUACAAAGGGAGGAGCAAUUCCAGAUAAAACUUGAAGGGUAUCCAAGGAUCCCUGUUUCCUGCAUGCCCUCUCUGUGCAAACUCGAAUUUCCAUCUUCCUUUCUACUUCUUCUUCUUUUACUGAUGAUGCUUUGAUUCGUGUAUUGUUAAUGGAUUUGAAUUUGGGAAGUGGAAAGAGGAGGAACAGAGAAAAGGGUUGCUGAGAAAUGCUUCUGAGAGUGCUCAAAUGGAUUGCACUCAUCGUUUUACUCAAGUUACUUCUUGUUUCUCCGAUUUCUUCUUUACUCUUUUGCUUUCUUCAUUGAGAAAAAUUGCUCGCCGGAGAAAUGACAGAGUGUGCAGCGG